UGACCUUCCACAUCGCUAAAUAUACACAACAAACUAGAUUCUUGUCUAUACGAGUCAAAUACUAACACAUAAAACAUCUUCUAUCCCUUUCAUCCAUACUGUGUUAAUCAACCUGAUCCUUCUUCUUUUGAUCAUUGGAGGUUGACUUGCAAUCACUUCCUAAUAGUUAGCAACUCUAGUCACUGCUACUCAGCCUUGACGAAGGCAGCAAUCCUUCUGUCGAUCAUCUUGGUCAUCCCCUUCUUUACAGUUUACACUACAAACCAAAUUACAUUUAGUGGCACAUAUUUUAUAUGCCACUGUAUCAUGUUCAAAGUUCUAAUUUUUGUUGAGCGCUAGUUAUUUUUCCUGCUAAUUUUCAUUUCCCGCUCCUUUUUCCCUCCACCAUUGAAGGUGUUGCACAUACUCUUUUUAACUUCUAGGUCAAAACUCAGAAAGCACAUCUGAAAUUUUUGGAUCCCCUGAAAUCACAAUCCCUUCCAAUAUCCAAAAUCCUCGUCACUCCUGCAUAUCAUCUCCUUGUUCGCUGCUGGAUAAAUCUCGGCAUCUCGUUGGUUGAAUCUCAUUCAAGAUUAAAUCCAUCUCGGUAUCUCACCGUGGAUUGAAGAUUUCUAUAUGUCAUCAUCGAUUUCAUCUUUUUUUCUGCCCGUUGAAUAGUUCAUAUGAAGCUUUUUGGUGUGCUCAAUUCCCUCAAAAAUUACAUCUGGUGGUAUUCCUGCUAGUUUCUCAUCUUUAUACAUAUGAAUUGACCAUUAUACCCUUGGGUUUAUCUUUCCUCUAUUCCUGUUAUGUCUUUAUUUUGUAGCUUAUCUUUUGUUGUUUUUUGGUGAUCUUUUAGAUGCUUCCAUUAUA